GAUGAACGCUGGCGGCGUGCCUAAUACAUGCAAGUCGAGCGAACAGACGAGGAGCUUGCUCCUCUGACGUUAGCGGCGGACGGGUGAGUAACACGUGGAUAACCUACCUAUAAGACUGGGAUAACUUCGGGAAACCGGAGCUAAUACCGGAUAAUAUAUUGAACCGCAUGGUUCAAUAGUGAAAGACGGUUUUGCUGUCACUUAUAGAUGGAUCCGCGCCGCAUUAGCUAGUUGGUAAGGUAACGGCUUUCCAAGGCAACGAUGCGUAGCCGACCUGAGAGGGUGAUCGGCCACACUGGAACUGAGACACGGUCCAGACUCCUACGGAAGGCAGCAGUAGGGAAUCUUCCGCAAUGGGCGAAAGCUUGACGGAGCAACGCCGCGUGAGUGAUGAAGGUCUUCGGAUCGUAAAACUCUGUUAUUAGGGAAGAACAAAUGUGUAAGUAACUAUGCACGUCUUGACGGUACCUAAGCAGAAAGCCACGGCUAACUACGU
rnacentral:rRNA from 1 species